ACAUAAACAACUUAUUGUUUUUGUCCAAAUCAACACGAGAUCUGAAUAACAACACUAUACUAUUGUGAGAGUGAUGCAUGCAACGUGUAACUAAGAAAAUUCAGCAACGGAUUGAGAAAUCCGGGUGGGAAUAAGGUUGGCAGCUUAGAAAAUUAAGCAGCUGCUUGCGAUGAACGGAACCCACGCACGACAACCCAUGAGAAAUUGCUUGCGUGCAGUCUGGCAACUCUUGAUGAUCUCUGCCGAAUGAUGAGAAAUGCACCCACCAGAUGUUUUCUGAUAAAUAACCUGGGUGACAGUGCCCUUUCUGAGUCCCAAAAGAUGACAUAAGGUUUCUAUAUGCUCAUCCUCCAAUAAUUGAAUUAAAACCGGCAAGUUACAGAAGUCACCUUUUGGAUGCUACAGAAGAUUCGGAAAGGACCAUCAAUAAUCCAUUGACAAUCUAGGAUUGUAGAGGGGUAUCUGCUUCACUUACAAGUGUUAGAUUUAAUAUGAGGCUUUGAGCACCGCACGACGAAAUAAUCCGUUCCUGAGACAUAGUUUAAUAAUAAGAAAAUAAUUUCAUGUACCAAACCCAUCUAUAGAGAGAGAGAUCAGCCUUGUCAAAAAAAAAAAAAAAACAAAAACAAAAACAAAAACAAACAAAACAAAAGGAGAGGGGAAGGGAGGGGGAGAUCGGCCUCAGACCCAUGGCACAAGUUGCCAAAAUCUCGCAAUCGGACCUUGUUUACAAGCAUUGUAGCAAUUAGGUAGGUCAUGCACUUCACCACAAGGAAC
rnacentral:lncRNA from 1 species